AGGGGACUAGUCCAAAUUAAGACCUCUGAUUUCGACUCAGAAAACCGCGGUUUAAUUCCGCGGUCCCCUU
ensembl:Mt_tRNA